CCCGACAAGGUGGAGCCCGGCGGGCCCGCGAGUCCAAGACCUGUCCCAGGAGCUCCAGCUCACGUGACCUGUCACUGCCUCCCGCCGCCUCCUGCCCGCGCCAUGACCCAGCCGGUGCCCCGGCUCUCCGUGCCCGCCGCGCUGGCCCUGGGCUCAGCCGCGCUGGGCGCCGCCUUCGCCACUGGCCUCUUCCUGGGUGAGCAGGACCUGGUCCCGGCGGGCGGGUGGGCGGGCGCAGAGGAGGGCGCGGCGUGGCUCAGGUUAACCCAACACCCUCUCCCCGUCAGGGAGGCGGUGCCCCCCAUGGAGAGGCCGGCGAGAGCAGUGCCUGCUUCCCCCCGAGGACAGCCCCCUGUGGCAGUAUCUUCUGAGCCGCUCCAUGCGGGAGCACCCGGCGCUGCGAAGCCUGAGGCUGCUGACCCUGGAGCAGCCGCAGGGGGAUUCUAUGAUGACCUGCGAGCAGGCCCAGCUCU
rnacentral:sRNA from 1 species